rnacentral:rRNA from 1 species
GAUGAACGCUAGCGGCAGGCUUAACACAUGCAAGUCGAGGGGCAUCGAGAGUAGCAAUACUUGUCGGCGACCGGCGCAAGGGUGCGUAACACGUGAGCAACAUACCCGUUUCAGGAGGAUAACCGGAGGAAACUCUGCCUAAUACUCCAUGACAUCAUCAAACGGCAUCGUUUGAUGAUUAAAGAUUUAUCGGAAACGGCUUGGCUCGCGGGACAUUAGCUCGUUGGUGAGGUAACGGCUCACCAAGGCGACGAUGUCUAGGGGUUCUGAGAGGAAGGUCCCCCACACUGGAACUGAGACACGGUCCAGACUCCUACGGGAGGCAGCAGUGAGGAAUAUUGGACAAUGGUCGGAAGACUGAUCCAGCCAUGCCGCGUGAAGGUUCUGUCCUAUGGAUAUUAAACUUCUUUUGUAUGGGAGCAAUAAGGUGCACGUGUGCACCGAUGAGAGUAUCAUACGAUAAGCAUCGCUAACUCCG